rnacentral:rRNA from 1 species
CCUACGGGAGGCUGCAGUGGGGAAUAUUGGGCAAUGGGCGCAAGCCUGACCCAGCAACGCCGCGUGAAGGAAGAAGGCUUUCGGGUUGUAAACUUCUUUUAAGAGGGAAGAGCAGAAGACGGUACCUCUUGAAUAAGCCACGGCUAACUACGUGCCAGCAGCCGCGGUAAUACGUAGGUGGCAAGCGUUGUCCGGAUUUACUGGGUGUAAAGGGCGUGUAGCCGGGCUGACAAGUCAGAUGUGAAAUCCGGGGGCUCAACCCCCGAACUGCAUUUGAAACUGUUGGUCUCGAGUUGGAGAGAAGUAUGCGGAAUGCGCGGUGUAGCGGUGAAAUGCAUAGAUAUCGCGCAGAACUCCGAUUGCGAAGGCAGCAUGCCGGCUCCACACUGACGCUGAGGCACGAAAGCGUGGGUAUCGAACAGGAUUAGAUACCCUGGUAGUC